UCGAAUUGAUUGUUUCGGCACAUUUCUGCCGGUAGGUGGAGGGGUCGUUGGGUAAACAACUGGCAGACGACAAACAAUUGUUCGAAAAAGAAAAUGACAAAAAAGAAAGCAGUUGUCAGAGGAAAUACUCGUCACUUUGUGCAAUACUGAAAUUAUAUUAAUUCAAUUGAACGUGGCAAACGGGAUGGAAUGCGACAGGAUGGCAGUUUCUCGUCUGCAUUUCCUCUCUGGUGACGGCAUCACGUGAGUUUUGAGUCAGAUUGACAUCACGCCAAGUUAAACGGCCGGUUAACACUCACGGCUCUCGAGAUAAAAACAUAAAAAAGACUUCCUCUGUCCAAUGACGAAAUAGGUGUAAUCUUUUGUGAGCUUUUAAGUCAUUGGAGUGGUUGUUGGCUCAUCAUUUUUAAUCGGUUCAGUCAUUAAGUCAGUCGUCAGAGCAGUUGGUACUGACAGAAGCUGAGACUCACCUUCAAAGUUCUCCUCGGUGAACCCCCCAUACUCCAGUGACUGUCCUCCAGACCCCCCGAUUGUGCCAUUGUGCAGACUGUGGGGUGACAGGAUGUAGCUGAGGGCGUGAGCGCUGGGAUGAUGCCCGCCGAUCACUCCGCUGCUGGCAUCCACCGAUCUCAGGAAUGUCGCUAUCGUCGUGGCUAUGACUCCGACUCCCCUGGGCGCAUCAAAAACAAUCGACAGGCAGAUAGGAAAAAAAUCAAACAUUAAACAUACAAUCGAUGAUUUAUUUUUCGACUUCUUUAUCAGGAAGCAUCUCAUACGGUUUAUGUAGCGGCACGUCAAGGAAAUCGUCAUGCGUUUAUCACACACACACACAGAGCCUGUUCUAUUCACCUGUACACCCAUUGUCUAUGCCCAAUCGAUUCAACCUACGAGUCAAAGACCCUGAUUUCCCUCCGACUUUUCCAAACUUCUCUCGCCGUUUUCCCUUUCAUUCGCUUCUAUGAUAUUUCUUUUUUCUCGUGAAUCACUCAACGAAUUUGUCCUCAAUUAACCUUCCCCCGCCCAAUCCUCUCUCUUUUCUUCCCCGUCUUCUUCUCUGGAGAUUAACAACAUCCAACUCCCAGAUCAGCCGGUGAAGCCUUGGAAGAAGACCGGAUCAAAACAACAUCAGGUAGUAGUCAAAAGAAGAAGAAGAAAGAAAAAAAACCUUUUUGUUUUGUUUAAAUUUCCCUCCCAAAUAAAGCACAAAGCUGAGAGAUGAGCAAAAGGCCGAUCGGUUACUAUCCGAAACUAUCCCCGUCAUUAACUUUCUUUUUUGUUUUUUUGUUUUUUUUUUCUUCUCCCGUAAAUUUCUACUCACAUGAUGAUGGAUUCCUUUGAAUUUCCAAAUUGAAUCUCUCUCCCGCUUGUGGGUCUCGACGGG